AUUGGGUAGGGGAGCGUUCUGUAAGCGGUUGAAGGUGUGUGGUAACGCAUGCUGGACGUAUCAGAAGUGCGAAUGCUGACAUGAGUAACGAUAAAGGGGGUGAAAAACCUCCUCGCCGGAAGACCAAGGGUUCCUGUCCAACGUUAAUCGGGGCAGGGUAAGUCGACCCCUAAGGCGAGGCCGAAAGGCGUAGUCGAUGGGAAACGGGUUAAUAUUCCCGUACUUCUUACAAUUGCGAUGGGGGGACGGAGAAGGCUAGGUGGGCCUGGCGACGGUUGUCCAGGUUCAAGUGCGUAGGCUUGAGAGUUAGGUAAAUCCGGCUCUCUUUAAGGCUGAGACACGACGUCGAGCACCUACGGGU
rnacentral:rRNA from 1 species